rnacentral:rRNA from 1 species
GCAAGGUUGGAACUCAAAGAAUUGGACGGGGGCCUACACUAGUGGUGGGAGCAUGUGGUUUAAUGCGAUAAUACGCGCAAAACCUUACCAAUUUUUGAAUAUAAUUUAAAAAUAAAAUUGCGCUGCAGCAAUAUUUAUUUAAUAAUUUUACAGGUGUUGCACGACUGUCGUCAGCUCGUGUCGUGAGAUGUUUGGUUAAUUCCUUUAACGAGCGUAACUCUUGUCUUUAUAAAUUACAAAUUUUAAUCUAAAUUGUUUUAAAGAUACUGCUAAUGAUAAAUUUGAGGAAGGUGAGAAUCAAGUCAGGUCAAUGUGGCCUUUAUAAAUUGGGCUACACACGUGCUACAAUGGAAAUUACAAAAAGUAACAAAAAUGAAAGUUUUAGUUAAUCUUUUAAAAUUUCCUCAGUUCGGAUUGUAGCCUGCAACUCGGUUACAUGAAGGUGGAAUCACUAGUAAUCGCAAAUCAGCGUGUUGCGGUGAAUACGUUACUUGGCCUUG